rnacentral:rRNA from 1 species
AAUUUAAGGUCUGACCUGCCCAAUGAGUUUUUAAAUGGCCGCGGUAUUUUGACCGUGCAAAGGUAGCAUAAUCAUUAGUUUUUUAAUUGAAAGCUGGAAUGAAAGGUCGAAUGAAAAAAUAGCUGUCUCUAUUUAAAUUUUUUAGAAAUUUAUUUUUAAGUUAAAAAGCUUAAAUAUAAUUAGAAGACGAGAAGACCCUAUAGAGUUUUAUUAAUUUCUAUUAUAGGCAUUUUAGUAUUAACUUUUUUAUAAUAAGGAUUAAUUUAAUUGGGGUGAUUGAAAAAUUUAAUAAACUUUUUUUAUAUCUUUACAUUUAUUUAUGAAUAUUUGAUCCUUUUAUGAAGAUUAUAAGAUAAAAUUACCUUAGGGAUAACAGCGUAAUUUUUUUAAAGAGUUCAAAUCGAAAAAAAAGAUUGCGACCUCGAUGUUGGAUUAAAAUAAAAUUUUGGUGUAGAAGCUAAAAUAUUUAGGUCUGUUCGACCUUUAAAAUUUUACAUGAUCUGAGUUUAAACCGGUGUGAGCCAGGUUGGUUUCUAUCUCUAUUAAAUUUUAAUAUCUUAGUACGAAAGGACCAGAUAUUUAAUUAAAAAUUUUAUUUAUAGAAUAAAAUU